rnacentral:lncRNA from 1 species
UGUCAUUCCAGGCAACAGCUGUUGACAUGAGAAGACAAAAAACUUCAGGCCCCUGUUGCCCCAGUGAAGGCGGCUAGGGAGCCACUCUGAAAAUGUAUUAUCGUGGAGAGCUGCCAACGUUGAUGGUGACUCCUAGCACCAGCUGCACAAUCUGAAACAUGUCUCCUCUCAGUCACACAGACUGGAGGGGCACAGAGAGACACAACAUCUGGAUGCACACCUGUGUCCCAGAUCCCUUUCUGCUUCCUUGUCCUUGAUUACAUGGCAGAUCUUACAGAUGGUAGCUAUGGCUGUUGGAGAGACCACACAUCUAUGUGAGCCAUGUGGGACAGGUGGACCGUGCCACCAGACAGAAGAACUGCAGAUGGCAUGACACAAAGCCAGGAGCAAGGGCUUGGAAGCUCUCUCUACUUGGGUCACAGGACUUAGCCCGCUGAGCACCUUUGAAGCUUGGCUAUUUGGUAAUGGGAUCUGGAAGCACUUGGCUCAUGAGGACGAAAUGAAGGACACACAGUAAACACUUCGCAUGUGGAACAGAUUCAAGAUUGUGUACUGUCUACCCUCAUGACUUUAUCAUCAGGAUCAGCAAAGCCAGUGGUC